rnacentral:rRNA from 1 species
GUUUGAUCCUGGCUCAGGACUAACGCUGGCGGCGUGCCUAACACAUGCAAGUCGAACGAAGCAGCAAUGCUUAGUGGCAGACGGGUGAGUAACGCGUAGAUAAUGUGCCCUCUUGCGGGGGAUACCGUUUCGAAAGGAACGUUAAUACCGCAUAAAGUCCUUAGGAGGCAUCUCCCUAGGACCAAACUUCCGGGGCGGGAGGAGCAAUCUGCGUACUAUCAGCUAGUUGGUGAGGUAAUGGCUCACCAAGGCUACGACGGUUAACUGGUCUGAGAGGAUGAUCAGUCACACUGGAACUGAGACACGGUCCAGACUCCUACGGGAGGCAGCAGUGAGGAAUAUUGCGCAAUGGCGAAAAGCCUGACGCAGCGACGCCGCGUGGAGGAGUGACGGAUUUCGGUCUCGUAAACUACCUGUCAGUAGGAAGGAGAA